rnacentral:rRNA from 1 species
UACGUAGGUGGCAAGCGUUGUCCGGAAUUAUUGGGCGUAAAGCGCUCGCAGGCGGUUCCUUAAGUCUGAUGUGAAAUCUUGCAGCUUAACUGCAAGCGGUCAUUGGAAACUGGGGGACUUGAGUACAGAAGAGGAGAGCGGAAUUCCACGUGUAGCGGUGAAAUGCGUAGAGAUGUGGAGGAACACCAGUGGCGAAGGCGGCUCUCUGGUCUGUAACUGACGCUCAGGAGCGAAAGCGUGGGUAGCGAACAGG